CCUGGUGCUAUGGCGCGGUGGAACCACGCCGAACCAUCCCGAACUCGGAGGUGAAACAUCGCAGCGGCGACGAUACUCUCGGGGUGACCCGACGGGAAAAUAGCUCGGUGCCAGGA
rnacentral:rRNA from 2 species